rnacentral:rRNA from 1 species
UACGAAGGGAGCUAGCGUUGUUCGGAAUCACUGGGCGUAAAGCGCACGUAGGCGGAUGUGUCAGUCAGGGGUGAAAUCCCGGGGCUCAACCUCGGAACUGCCUUUGAUACAGCACGUCUUGAGUCCGGAAGAGGUGGGUGGAAUUCCUAGUGUAGAGGUGAAAUUCGUAGAUAUUAGGAAGAACACCGGUGGCGAAGGCGGCCCACUGGUCCGGUACUGACGCUGAGGUGCGAAAGCGUGGGGAGCAAACAGG